rnacentral:rRNA from 1 species
GAUGAACGCUGGCGGCGUGCCUAAUACAUGCAAGUCGAGCGAACGGACGAGAAGCUUGCUCUUCUGAUGUUAGCGGCGGACGGGUGAGUAACACGUGGAUAACCUACCUAUAAGACUGGGAUAACUUCGGGAAACCGGAGCUAAUACCGGAUAAUAUUUUGAACCGCAUGGUUCAAAAGUGAAAGACGGUUUUGCUGUCACUUAUAGAUGGAUCCGCGCUGCAUUAGCUAGUUGGUAAGGUAACGGCUUACCAAGGCAACGAUGCAUAGCCGACCUGAGAGGGUGAUCGGCCACACUGGAACUGAGACACGGUCCAGACUCCUACGGGAGGCAGCAGUAGGGAAUCUUCCGCAAUGGGCGAAAGCCUGACGGAGCAACGCCGCGUGAGUGAUGAAGGUCUUCGGAUCGUAAAACUCUGUUAUUAGGGAAGAACAUAUGUGUAAGUAACUAUGCACAUCUUGACGGUACCUAAUCAGAAAGCCACGGCUAACUACGUG